rnacentral:rRNA from 1 species
GAUGAACGCUGGCGGCGUGCUUAACACAUGCAAGUCGAACGGUGAAGGCGGAGCUUGCUCUGCUGGAUCAGUGGCGAACGGGUGAGUAACACGUGAGCAAUCUACCCCUGACUCUGGGAUAAGCGCUGGAAACGGCGUCUAAUACUGGAUACGAGCUGCGAAGGCAUCUUCAGCAGCUGGAAAGAACUUCGGUCAGGGAUGAGCUCGCGGCCUAUCAGCUUGUUGGUGAGGUAACGGCUCACCAAGGCGUCGACGGGUAGCCGGCCUGAGAGGGUGACCGGCCACACUGGGACUGAGACACGGCCCAGACUCCUACGGGAGGCAGCAGUGGGGAAUAUUGCACAAUGGGCGAAAGCCUGAUGCAGCAACGCCGCGUGAGGGACGACGGCCUUCGGGUUGUAAACCUCUUUUAGCAGGGAAGAAGCGAAAGUGACGGUACCUGCAGAAAAAGCGCCGGCUAACUACGU